UACGGGGGGAGCAAGCGUUGUUCGGAUUUACUGGGUCGGUAAAGGGCGCGUGAGGCGGUCGUGGAACAAGUCACUUGUGAAAUCUCCGGGCCUUAACUCGGAAAGGUCAAGUGAUACGUGUCGGACUAGAGUACAGAAAGGGAGCAACUGGAAUUCUCGGUGUAGCGGAUGAAAUGCGUAGAGAUGUGGAGGAACCACCGAUGGCGAAGGCAGCCUUCUGGGCCAACACUGACGCUCAUGCACGAAAGCGUGGGGAGCAAACAGG
rnacentral:rRNA from 1 species